AUUGAACGCUAGCGGCGUGCUUAACACAUGCAAGUCGAACGGCAGCGCGGGUAGCUUGCUACCUGGCGGCGAGUGGCGGACGGGUGAGUAAUGCGUAGGAAUCUGCCUUAUAGUGGGGGAUAACCCGGGGAAACUCGGGCUAAUACCGCAUAAUCUCUACGGAGCAAAGCAGGGGACCUUCGGGCCUUGCGCUGUAAGAUGAGCCUACGUCGGAUUAGCUAGUUGGUAGGGUAAAGGCCUACCAAGGCAAUAAUCCGUAGCUGGUCUGAGAGGACGAUCAGCCACACUGGGACUGAGACACGGCCCAGACUCCUACGGGAGGCAGCAGUGGGGAAUAUUGGACAAUGGGGGAAACCCUGAUCCAGCAACGCCGCGUGUGUGAAGAAGGCCUUCGGGUUGUAAAGCACUUUUAGUGGAGAAGAAAGACUCAAAGCUAAUAUCUUUGAGAGGUGACGUUAUCCACAGAAAAAGCACUGGCUAACUCUGUGCCAGCCGCCGCAGUAA
rnacentral:rRNA from 1 species